rnacentral:misc_RNA from 1 species
UAAGAAGAAGAAGAAGAAGAAGAAGAAGAAGAAGAAGAAGAAGAAGAAGAAGAAGAAGAAGAAGAAGAAGAAGAAGAAGAAGAAGAAGAAGAAAAAAAAGCAGGAGGAAUAGAAGGUGAAGAAGGAUAAAUCCAUCACAUCACGUCCUGGACGUGUGUCCCCUACGGCUAUAGGAUAAGUAUACAUGUAUAACAUAUUAUGUGACCUAUACCACACGCACGUGU